rnacentral:rRNA from 1 species
CCUACGGGUGGCAGCAGUGAGGAAUAUUGGUCAAUGGCCGAGAGGCUGAACCAGCCAAGUCGCGUGAGGGAAGACGGCCCUACGGGUUGUAAACCUCUUUUGUCGGGGAGCAAAGAGAGUCACGUGUGACUCAUUGAGAGUACCCGAAGAAAAAGCAUCGGCUAACUCCGUGCCAGCAGCCGCGGUAAUACGGGGGAUGCGAGCGUUAUCCGGAUUUAUUGGGUUUAAAGGGUGCGCAGGGGGAGGUGCAAGUCAGCGGGAAAAUCGCGGGGCUCAACCCCGUACUGCCGUUGAAACUGCAUGCCUUGAGUGCGCGAGAAGUAUGCGGAAUGCGUGGUGUAGCGGUGAAAUGCAUAGAUAUCACGCAGAACUCCGAUUGCGAAGGCAGCAUACCGGCGCGCAACUGACGCUCAUGCACGAAAGCGUGGGUAUCGAACAGGAUUAGAUACCCCGGUAGUC